AUUGAACGCUGGCGGCAGGCCUAACACAUGCAGGUCGAGCGGAUGAAGGGAGCUUGCUCCUGGAUUCAGCGGCGGACGGGUGAGUAAUGCCUAGGAAUCUGCCUGGUAGUGGGGGAUAACGUCCGGAAACGGGCGCUAAUACCGCAUACGUCCUGAGGGAGAAAGUGGGGGAUCUUCGGACCUCACGCUAUCAGAUGAGCCUAGGUCGGAUUAGCUAGUUGGUGGGGUAAAGGCCUACCAAGGCGACGAUCCGUAACUGGUCUGAGAGGAUGAUCAGUCACACUGGAACUGAGACACGGUCCAGACUCCUACGGGAGGCAGCAGUGGGGAAUAUUGGACAAUGGGCGAAAGCCUGAUCCAGCCAUGCCGCGUGUGUGAAGAAGGUCCUCGGAUUGUAAAGCACUUUAAGUUGGGAGGAAGGGCAGUAAGUUAAUACCUUGCUGUUUUGACGUUACCAACAGAAUAAGCACCGGCUAACUUCGUG
rnacentral:rRNA from 1 species